rnacentral:rRNA from 1 species
GACGAACGCUGGCGGCGUGCUUAACACAUGCAAGUCGAACGCUGAAGACCUGGCUUUUGUUGGGUUGGAUGAGUGGCGAACGGGUGAGUAACACGUGAGUAACCUGCCCUCUUCUUUGGGAUAACGCCCGGAAACGGGUGCUAAUACUGGAUAUUCACUGAUCUUCGCAUGGGGGUUGGUGGAAAGGUUUGUUCUGGUGGGGGAUGGGCUCGCGGCCUAUCAGCUUGUUGGUGGGGUGAUGGCCUACCAAGGCUUUGACGGGUAGCCGGGCGGGGAGGGUGACCGGUCAAGUUGGGACUGAGAUACGGCCCAGACUCCUACGGGAGGCAGCAGUGGGGGAUAUUGCACAAUGGGCGAAAGCCUGAUGCAGCGGCGCCGCGUGAGGGAUGGAGGCCUUCGAGUUGGAAACCUCUUUCGCUCAUGGUCAAGCCGCAACUGUGGGUUGUGGUGAGGGUAGUGGGUAAAGAAGCGCCGGCUAACUACGUG